rnacentral:rRNA from 1 species
UACGAAGGGAGCUAGCGUUGUUCGGAAUCACUGGGCGUAAAGCGCACGUAGGCGGAUGUGUCAGUCAGGGAUGAAAUCCCGGAGCUCAACUUCGGAACUGCCUUUGAUACAGCACGUCUUGAGUCCGAUAGAGGUGGGUGGAAUUCCUAGUGUAGAGGUGAAAUUCGUAGAUAUUAGGAAGAACACCGGUGGCGAAGGCGGCCCACUGGAUCGGUAUUGACGCUGAGGUGCGAAAGCGUGGGGAGCAAACAGG